rnacentral:lncRNA from 1 species
GAGGGACUCAGCGUGUGUGCUGGGGGUCGUGAGUUCGGUCCCGGAAUGCGCGCAAACGAAUUUGAAUUUUUCUUUUUGCCGAAAUUGUUUUUUUUCUCGUUUAUUUACCUGUCGCAUAGCUAGCUAUAUGCAUUGGGAAGAUGAAUUUAGAUGCAUUUCGAUGAUUUUCGGAAAAUNNNNNNNNNNNNNNNNNNNNUCUGCUUAUGAAACAUUCUAGAACCAGUCUCCAAAAUGCGCGCAUUUUUUGAACGAAUAGUAUACUAUAGUACAGCCCGGCUGGCAGCCGAGCAAUCGGAGACAAAAUUUCCGGCUGUCAGCCGGCGUCAAACGCGCUAAUCGGGUGAAUGGUUGUACAUGUAUAUGAAUUUGACAAAUAUUUGACAUGAAAUUAUGUGCUGGUAUAAAGAGGGAAGUAAGGUUUUAUAGAUUUAGCCAAGGCCGGGUUUUGUCAUGCAUGAGCUUGUGGUGAACUGAUGCACGACAAAGCUCAGCUGAUCUUAAAAUGCAUGUUUUGCCCAAGUUUGUAUAUUGUGUGCUCUCUGAUAGUUUGUUGUAUGUACGUUUAAAAGGCUGUGCAUUAUUUUUUUGCCCCAUCCCUAUGAGUAUUGGGUUAAUUGACUCAAGCGCUGGCAUAUUUCUGGUGUCCCUGAGGUAAGGGCUGUUAAUGCGACAGCUAGGCCAGUAAGCAAGACCUCACUGUGUGGUUAUUUUUAUAGCGGAAAUUCCUUUCAAAUUGUAUGGACAACCUGACUGGCUCAGUUUUCAGAUCUCAUCAGAACAAGGCAAGCUCUCAGUUACACCGGGAAGAUAUUUUAUGGCUAUAAACACUAACUGGACUGACUUGGUGAAAAUAAAGUCAAAACAACAUUGGUCAUGAAAAUAUUGUCAAAACAAUAGAAUUGUGUCGGCAAAGAAAUAAGAAAUUAUUCUGCCAACCAGGCCAGUCUGGCUUCCAUAUUGAUAGCCCCUAUGGCUAUAAUCUAUUCUUAGCCUCCUCCGCAGGCCUCUUUAUGGGUUUUUAGUGGUGUAACUUUACUUUUUUGACCACUUGCCCUCGGGGCAAGUUGGACAUGAAAAUUACUUGCCCUGAAUAAAACUUAGCCACUGGGGUACCGAGGUAGGAGGU